rnacentral:sRNA from 1 species
AAUCCCUCCUCAUUGCUGAAAUUAAGAAGUGAAGACCUGAGCAUUGCAGCUGUUUCGAACCCUCAAUCAAGAAUCUUCAAGUUGACGGUGCACGGUUCCAUGUUUCCUGGUAAAUUGUGGUGGAUGUAAAGCUUGCGAAAGCACGGAGGAUGUCGCAGGCACCGUUCGACUGGGUGAAACUGUCUUCUUUCCACCCAACCAACUUGAAAGUUACGGCAGCAAUCUUUGGUCAUGGGUAUUGGUGGUUUCGGAAGGUCUGUGGACGGAGGAUCCAUGAGAUGUUUGUGUGCUUUGAUAGAAACGGUGAUCUUGAAUAGGCACUAGCUCUCGAGGCGGGUAAGGCUCUUGUGGAUAAGUAGUGAUGGCUUGCCGCUCGGCCUUUCGGACUUUCUGAUUUUCCGGACGCACCCUGGGGCAAGACUGGAAAUAUUGAUAACCCCUAGUUACAUGUUUGGCUUCCUGGUGAUCGGGGUUUCAUUGGCUGAGCGUGCUCAAGCGGCAAAGAGAACCACUGAUAGGUGGAAAUCGUGACUGGACUUAUGCAUUGUUUUCGCUUGCAUAUGAUGUGGAGAUAUCGACCAGUGAUGUUUCUCUGUUUUCCGAACUCCAGCUUUGUAGUGUGCGCGCUGGCAUGGAACAUGCCUUCACCAAUGUGAUGGGUUACGUGAUGCGGGUAUAAAGGGACGCUUCAUCUGCAGCAUUGUACUGUACAUAACACUGGAAGAACGUUCUUAUUUAUUUAAUCGAGGUUGCUCCAUAGCACCUCGAGGAGAGAAGGAAUCGCCGCUGGACUUGAAGGGCAAAUAUAUCACUUAAACGGAAAUCAACCAAGGCUACAUCUUCAUUGAUGUUCGUUCGGUGGAAAGGAAACUACGUAGUAAGUUUGUUCAUUAGCUAGCAUCUAGGCAGACAGAUAGACAUCUUACACUCGUCGCUAAGAUUUUACAGACCAGACAAGCGUCUGGGACAACAGGUGAGAUAGGCCGAAGUUGUCAAUAGAAGAUCUCAUAGCUGUUAAGGUAUUCAUUUGGCAUUCAUUUGGCAUUCCUUAUACUACGGAUGUUUUUCCCCUUUAACAAUUGCCGUGUCCAAUGGGAGAGCAUCUGUUAAUAGAGGACAAAAGGAGGAUGUGGUGAACCAAAGACCAACUCUCGAAGCUACAUAACGAGCAAUCUAUAAUCUAACUACAGAGUAAACAGGUGGAUGUCUGAUUCCUGG